GGGCUUGUAGCUCAGGUGGUUAGAGCGCACGCCUGAUAAGCGUGAGGUCGGAGGUUCGAGUCCUCCCAAGCCCA
rfam:Mogibacterium pumilum strain ATCC 700696 genome.